AGUCCGGUCCGGCACAACGGGCGCCGGCAAACCCCGCCAGGUCCGGAAGGAAGCAACGGUAGUCGGAUUGCUCGUGUGUUGCCGGGUCGCCGGGCUGUC
rnacentral:SRP_RNA from 1 species